rnacentral:rRNA from 1 species
GUAGGUGGCAAGCGUUGUCCGGAAUUAUUGGGCGUAAAGCGCGCGCAGGUGGUUCUUUAAGUCUGAUGUGAGAGCCCCCGGCUCAACCGGGGAGGGUCAUUGGAAACUGGGGAACUUGAGUGCAGGAGAGGAAAGUGGAAUUCCACGUGUAGCGGUGAAAUGCGUAGAUAUGUGGAGGAACACCAGUGGCGAAGGCGACUUUCUGGCCUGUAACUGACACUGAGGCGCGAAAGCGUGGGGAGCAAACAGGAUUAGAUACCCUGGUAGUCCACGCCGUAAGCGAUGAGUGCUAAGUGUUGGGGGGGUUUCCCGCCCCUCAGUGCUGCAGCUAACGCAUUAAGCACUCCGCCUGGGGAGUACGGUCGCAAGACUG